AUGUGGAGAUCAGUGAAAAUGGGGAAAUGCGAUGAAAUGUGUGGAAGCCGAGGGACAAGGGGUCGAGCGGAGCUAAGACCGGCAUUUUUAGACGCUCCUGCCGCUCACAUCAUCAAUCUCCAAAGACCAAAAAUGAUAUUAAUAGCGUUGUGAUUAAUGUUAUUUCCGCGUUCAUGUUACAGAAGCUUUGUCACGCUACCACCAGGGUCAGAGAACUACCCCUGGAAAUGCCCAAACUACCCGUGAAAGCGUUGUCAAAGUUGUGUUCUCGGGCUUUGGAAGGUAUAGAAAUAUGGCCCUAAGCCCCCAGUAGGAUGCUAGACAUAUUUUCACCUGUCCCUUAGUGAGCCUGAGGGGGGUCAAAGAGGGGAUCAGUCGGGUUCUAAUGAGUGUUUCUUUAGGUUCACGGUACAGAGGAAGGGUCACACUACCACCAGGGUCAUAAAACUACUACUGGAAAAGCCCAAAACUUCUGUGAAAGCCUUGCCAAAUGUGUUUCUUAGGUUCACAGUACAGAGGAAGGGUCACACUACCACCAGGGUCAUAAAACUACCCCUGGAAAAGCCCAAAACUUCUAUGAAAGCCUUGCCAAAUGUGUUUCUUAGGUUCACGGUACAGAGGAAGGGUCACACUACCACCAGGGUCAUAAAACUACCCCUGGAAAAGCCCAAAACUUCUAUGAAAGCCUUGCCAAAUGUGUUUCUUAGGUUCACGGUACAGAGGAAGGGUCACACUACCACCAGGGUCAUAAAACUACCCCUGGAAAAGCCCAAAACUUCUAUGAAAGCCUUGCCAAAUGUGUUUCUUAGGUUCACGGUACAGAGGAAGGGUCACACUACCACCAGGGUCAUAAAACUACCCCUGGAAAUGCCCACAACUUAUACGAAAGCCUUGUGAAUUAUGUGAACUUGGCCGACGAAAUGUUUUGAAAUAUGACUUAAUGGUUCCCACACACAUUUCAUGGCAAUUUUUACACUUGUUUUGAUCUCUACAUUAUCUCCUUUAAUUUUCUAGAAGCUUUGAAGAUUAGUAAAUGACAUAUAUGACAACAGAAGACCAAUUAGCUAAGGUGGAAUUGAGAUAUUGGUGUGUUAAUGAUACAAGUCUUCACCUCACCUCCCCUAACAUCAGCAUCCCUUCCCCUAACACCCCUCCCUCCACC